rnacentral:tRNA from 1 species
GCCCCCAUCGUCGAGCGGGCGGGUCCUCAGAGACCCCGCCCUCCCACGGCGGUAGCACGGGUUCGGAUCCCGUGGGGGGUGCCA